rnacentral:lncRNA from 10 species
GAUGCCCUGAGCAGGAUUUCUGUCCCCAGCUUGGUAACAUUUUAGCAAGUGCUUUACAAUUGUUCCUUCAGUCCUCAUGGCAAUCCUGUGAGAGAAGCAUGGUUGUUUCUGUAGGUAGCUAGUUAGGUAUGAGCAGAGCAAACACACACACCAGGAGUGUCGGGCGACCAUCAGGUGAUGGACAGGAGGUUGUUAACUGUCUCGCUAAGGAAAUAAUUAGUCACAGCUGGCACCAGGCAAAGGCUGGUUCCUAAUAGAUAGAAAACACCUGAAACUAGCAAUCAGCAGUUUCCAAUAAGAUCUCAGGCGUGGGGAGAAGUAAUGCAAGACUCCAGAAGUACGCCAAUGUAUAAAGCCCCAAGUCAAGAGGUCAAGCCGCACACUUGGUCUUUCAAGUCGCCUGCUUGGUCCUCUUCCAAAGGUACGGACAGCACCUAGUCCUGCUGGUCUGCCAUGGUGAAGCAUUUGCUACAAGCUGAUGGCCAAGAUGGUGUUUCAGAGGAAACAAUGAAGAGCCUCUCUGAGAUUCUCACUGAAAUGAAA